rnacentral:rRNA from 1 species
GACGAACGCUGGCGGCGUGCUUAACACAUGCAAGUCGAACGGUGAAGCGCCUUCCUUUUUGGUGGGUGUGGAUGAGUGGCGAACGGGUGAGUAACACGUGAGUAACCUGCCCCCUUCUUCUGGAUAACCGCAUGAAAGUGUGGCUAAUACGGGAUAUUCUGGGUCUGUCGCAUGAUGGGUCUGGGAAAGAUAUUGUUUCGGUGGGGGAUGGGCUCGCGGCCUAUCAGCUUGUUGGUGGGGUGAUGGCCUACCAAGGCGGUGACGGGUAGCCGGCCUGAGAGGGUGGACGGUCACACUGGGACUGAGACACGGGCCAGACUCCUACGGGAGGCAGCAGUGGGGAAUAUUGCACAAUGGGCGCAAGCCUGAUGCAGCGACGCCGCGUGAGGGAUGGAGGCCUUCGGGUUGUGAACAUCUUUAGCCAGUGAAGCAGGCCUGCCUCGUUUGUGGGUGGGUUGACGGUAGCUGGAGAAGAAGCGCCGGCUAACUACGUG